UACAGAGGUCCCAAGCGUUGUUCGGAUUCAUUGGGCGUAAAGGGUGCGUAGGUGGCGCGCUAAGUCAGGUGUGAAAUUUCGGAGCUUAACUCCGAAACUGCAUUCGAUACUGCCGUGCUCGAGGACUGGAGAGGAGACUGGAAUUUACGGUGUAGCAGUGAAAUGCGUAGAUAUCGUAAGGAAGACCAGUGGCGAAGGCGGGUCUCUGGACAGUUCCUGACGCUGAGGCACGAAGGCCAGGGGAGCAAACGGG
rnacentral:rRNA from 1 species